ACAUCAUAAAAGUUUAUUAACAUAUUCACAGAUGGCGUUAAUCAGCAAUUCACAAAUGAUGCUUGUAAACGUGUGUACAACAGGAACAAUCGCGUAGUUUUAUUUGAAAACACUGUACACAUAGAACAGUGUAAAUUAAAACAUGUACUGUACAGGCAGAAAGCAGGAAACGUGGUACAUCACUGAUUAAUGACAAAUAUUUAUAUCAGACGUGUCGAGCAUGACGGCGGUUCAGCAACUGCGGUAAAAUAAUUAUUGUAGCAAAACCACGAAACUAAAAGAAAGCACAGCGUAGUGCAGAACAUCGCGGGUUCCUGAGGAGGGCUAUCUCUGUGUUAAAGCAAAAAAAGUGACAGAGCAUCAGGUGACCUUCGUUUCCUGUGUACGUGCUGAAAACUUACCCACAAUUCCAACAAAACCCCAAAGCAACAUGGCGAUAGCUGUAAUAUAAAUAAUUAACCAUGUAGUAAAGCACCAAGUUGUAAUCACUGGCUCUGGUUAUUUCCUAUUUGGUAGCAUUUGCCGCACGCACACACACACACACACAAAUAAAAUGGAAGAAUAGGCCACAUCCCUGAAUUCCAGGGAUGCUAAAAUAUAAAAAAAUAUUGUAAUUCUCUGAAUAUCUGUAAAAGAGGAGGAAGAAAGAAAAGAUAUAAAUAUGAGAAAGAAAUAAAAAUGUAUACUGUCCACCUGCACAGAGUGAAUUUAAAGUUUCUGAUUGGACGGCUGAGGAGGCCAUUAUAUCAUCACAAGUUGGAAUUUCCGGCGCGUCCACCAUAGCCAUGCAAGUACCCAUGAAUGAGCCGUUACCAUAGAAACUAUCUCUCCUGACUUUCCCAUUUCCUAUUCGGGAACGUUCGCUACACAAAAAUGGAAGAAGCGGAGCAGGCCACACCCACAAGUCGUACAGAGAUUCGAAAAUAUAUAGACGAUAUGACGGAAGGUGAUUCGGGCUGAACGGCAUUGUGGGUAAUGAAACUGAGUUCAGGGUCAUAAUGAUGGUGAUUACAUGCAAGAAACUUCCAAAAAAAAGUAUCUGCUGAAAUAAGAGGACAAACUUCAGUUCUUUGUAGAAUUUUGAGGUAAAACGAAUGAAAAUCCCCCAAACACCAAAUUACACGCUGAUGUUGUGUUGCACUGAUCAUAUAUUUGCUCAGAUUUACCUAAAUUCGCUGUUAAUAAAAGAGGGAAAUAGGUGUGUGCGAGUGUGUAGAGUGUGUUUUUGUCCCUCAUUGACAGCGUGACGCUCUUCAUCCGUGUCACACUAAACACGCUAAUGCUGCUCACAAGUAAAAGCCAGCAAGUACACGCUAAUUCCCAGCGAAUCGUCCCUGGCCUGUCCACGUCCCUCAGUCGAGCUCGUCCUGUUCGUCCACUACAGUGAAGAUGUCGUUGAAGAAGUACGCUGCAACACUCGUGGGCUCUUCGUCUUCUUCAGCUGCGUUCCGGUUCACACUCGACGUCUCGGUCCUCGUGUGUGAGCUCACCUGAAAACCACA
ensembl:lncRNA